ACUGCUUUGACAGAAUAGUGUGAUAGAUUUAGAAUCUUUUUAUAUAGUGAUGAACUAUAAGUAGUA
rnacentral:tRNA from 1 species